GGGGAAUAUUGGACAAUGGGCGAAAGCCUGAUCCAGCCAUGCCGCGUGUGUGAAGAAGGUCUUCGGAUUGUAAAGCACUUUAAGUUGGGAGGAAGGGUUGUAGAUUAAUACUCUGCAAUUUUGACGUUACCGACAGAAUAAGCACCGGCUAACUCUGUGCCAGCAGCCGCGGUAAUACAGAGGGUGCAAGCGUUAAUCGGAAUUACUGGGCGUAAAGCGCGCGUAGGUGGUUUGUUAAGUUGGAUGUGAAAUCCCCGGGCUCAACCUGGGAACUGCAUCCAAAACUGGCAAGCUAGAGUAUGGUAGAGGGUGGUGGAAUUUCCUGUGUAGCGGUGAAAUGCGUAGAUAUAGGAAGGAACACCAGUGGCGAAGGCGACCACCUGGACUGAUACUGACACUGAGGUGCGAAAGCGUGGGGAGCAAAC
rnacentral:rRNA from 1 species